rnacentral:tRNA from 1 species
GGAGGUUAUAGCUCAGUUGGUUAGAGCAUCGGAUUGUGGUUCCGAGGGUCGUGGGUUCGAGCCCCAUUAAUCUCCC